AUGAACGCUGGCGGCGUGCCUAAUACAUGCAAGUCGAGCGAACAGACGAGGAGCUUGCUCCUCUGACGUUAGCGGCGGACGGGUGAGUAACACGUGGAUAACCUACCUAUAAGACUGGGAUAACUUCGGGAAACCGGAGCUAAUCCCGGAUAAUAUAUUGAACCGCAUGGUUCAAUAGUGAAAGACGGUUUUGCUGUCACUUAUAGAUGGAUCCGCGCCGCAUUAGCUAGUUGGUAAGGUAACGGCUUACCAAGGCAACGAUGCGUAGCCGACCUGAGAGGGUGAUCGGCCACACUGGAACUGAGACACGGUCCAGACUCCUACGGGAGGCAGCAGUAGGGAAUCUUCCGCAAUGGGCGAAAGCUUGACGGAGCAACGCCGCGUGAGUGAUGAAGGUCUUCGGAUCGUAAAACUCUGUUAUUAGGGAAGAACAAAUGUGUAAGUAACUAUGCACGUCUUGACGGUACCUAAUCAGAAAGCCACGGCUAACUACGUG
rnacentral:rRNA from 1 species